UACGUAGGGUGCAAGCGUUAAUCGGAAUUACUGGGCGUAAAGCGUGCGCAGGCGGUUUUUGUAAGUCUGUCGUGAAAUCCCCGGGCUCAACCUGGGAAUUGCGAUGGAGACUGCAAGGCUAGAAUCUGGCAGAGGGGGGUAGAAUUCCACGUGUAGCAGUGAAAUGCGUAGAGAUGUGGAGGAACACCGAUGGCGAAGGCAGCCCCCCUGGGUCAAGAUUGACGCUCAUGCACGAAAGCGUGGGGAGCAAACAGGA
rnacentral:rRNA from 1 species